UACGGAGGAUGCGAGCGUUAUCCGGAUUUAUUGGGUUUAAAGGGUGCGCAGGCGGGAGAUUAAGUCGGCGGUGAAAUUUUGCAGCUCAACUGUAAAAGUGCCUUCGAAACUGGUUUCCUUGAGUGUAGAUGAAGUAGGCGGAAUUUGUGGUGUAGCGGUGAAAUGCAUAGAUAUCACGAGGAACUCCGAUUGCGCAGGCAGCUUACUAAACUACUACUGACGCUCAGGCACGAAGGCGUGGGGAUCAAACAGGAUUAGAUACCCCCGUAGU
rnacentral:rRNA from 1 species